rnacentral:rRNA from 1 species
GACGAACGCUGGCGGCGUGCUUAACACAUGCAAGUCGAACGGAAAGGCCCUGCUUUUGUGGGGUGCUCGAGUGGCGAACGGGUGAGUAACACGUGAGUAACCUGCCCUUGACUUUGGGAUAACUUCAGGAAACUGGGGCUAAUACCGGAUAGGAGCUCCUGCUGCAUGGUGGGGGUUGGAAAGUUUCGGCGGUUGGGGAUGGACUCGCGGCUUAUCAGCUUGUUGGUGGGGUAGUGGCUUACCAAGGCUUUGACGGGUAGCCGGCCUGAGAGGGUGACCGGCCACAUUGGGACUGAGAUACGGCCCAGACUCCUACGGGAGGCAGCAGUGGGGAAUAUUGCACAAUGGGCGGAAGCCUGAUGCAGCAACGCCGCGUGCGGGAUGACGGCCUUCGGGUUGUAAACCGCUUUCGCCUGUGACGAAGCGUGAGUGACGGUAAUGGGUAAAGAAGCACCGGCGAACUACGU